rnacentral:rRNA from 1 species
UACGGGAAGGCAGCAGUGGGGAAUAUUGCACAAUGGGCGAAAGCCUGAUGCAGCUAUGCCGCGUGUAUGAAGAAGGCCUUAGGGUUGUAAAGUACUUUCAUCGGGGAGGAAAAACAAAACUAAUAAUUUUAUUUCUUGACGUUACCCGAAAAAGAAGCACCGGCUAACUCCGUGCCAGCAGCCGCGGUAAUACGGAGGGUGCUAGCGUUAAUCAGAAUUACUGGGCGUAAAGAGCACGUAGGUGGUUUUUUUAAAGUCAGAUGUGAAAUCCCUGGGCUUAACCUAGGAACUGCAUUUUGAAACUGAAAUACUAGAGUAUCGUAGAGGGAGGUAGAAUUCUAGGUGUAGCGGUGAAAUGCGUAGAUAUCUGGAGGAAUACCUGUGGCGAAAGCGGCCUCCUAAACGAAUACUGACACUGAGGUGCGAAAGCGUGGGGAGCAAAACAGGGAUUAGAUACC